AUUGAACGCUGGCGGCAUGCCUUACACAUGCAAGUCGAACGGUAACGGGUCCUUCGGGAUGCCGACGAGUGGCGAACGGGUGAGUAAUAUAUCGGAACGUGCCCAGUAGUGGGGGAUAACUGCUCGAAAGAGCAGCUAAUACCGCAUACGACCUGAGGGGGAAAGGGGGGAUCGCAAGACCUCUCGCUAUUGGAGCGGCCGAUAUCAGAUUAGCUAGUUGGUGGGGUAAAGGCCUACCAAGGCAACGAUCUGUAGUUGGUCUGAGAGGACGACCAGCCACACUGGGACUGAGACACGGCCCAGACUCCUACGGGAGGCAGCAGUGGGGAAUUUUGGACAAUGGGCGCAAGCCUGAUCCAGCAAUGCCGCGUGCAGGAAGAAGGCCUUCGGGUUGUAAACUGCUUUUGUCAGGGAAGAAAUCUUCUGGGCUAAUACCCCGGGAGGAUGACGGUACCUGAAGAAUAAGCACCGGCUAACUACGUGCCAGCCGCCGCCGUAACAC
rnacentral:rRNA from 1 species